UUCCAGACUCCUACGGGAGGCAGCAGUGGGGAAUAUUGCACAAUGGGCGAAAGCCUGAUGCAGCAACGCCGCGUGAAGGAAGACGGUUUUCGGAUUGUAAACUUCUAUCAAUAGGGAAGAAAGAAAUGACGGUACCUAAAUAAGAAGCCCCGGCUAACUACGUGCCAGCAGCCGCGGUAAUACGUAGGGGGCAGGCGUUAUCCGGAUUUACUGGGUGUAAAGGGAGCGUAGACGGCAGUGCAAGUCUGGAGUGAAAGGCGGGGGCUCAACCCCCGGACUGCUCUGGAAACUGUACGGCUGGAGUGCAGGAGAGGUAAGUGGAAUUCCUAGUGUAGCGGUGAAAUGCGUAGAUAUUAGGAGGAACACCAGUGGCGAAGGCGGCUUACUGGACUGUAACUGACGUUGAGGCUCGAAAGCGUGGGGAGCAAACAGGAUUAGAUACCCGAGUA
rnacentral:rRNA from 1 species